AAACGAGCUGCAGAUAUGUGUAAUAACUCUUGUGGAAUAUUGUACCCUUCAGUCGUGACAUGAACGUAACAACGUACGGAGCCUUUACAUUAAAAAUUUUAAUUUUUGAAUAACGAAAACGACCACCAACAAGGUCGAUUGUAUUUCAUACACAACUGACAGAGGAAAUACCCUCCCCCUUCACUAAAAAGAAGAAAACGUGUACAAUGGAAAACUAUAGACAGGAGCAAAAAGCACGAAUCACUUUGACCUGAUGCAUUAAAAUAAAAAAGAGCAAGAAUCUCCAUAACCAACAUGUUUGUUCACUAGAUGGAUAACCAACAAGAAAAAAUUGAAAGAAUUUCGCCUGCUGUGGCUAGGCAAUCAAGAGUUGGCACGCCAACAGUGCUGCCAGAUUCACGAACGCUCUAUCAUCCCACAUAAUGACUCGCGACCUUGGUAUUUCUCUUCUCAUCAUUUCGUUAUUCGACAUUCUCGAUGCUGUGUUCGCUCUACUAUCACGGAAGAGGAAAAAAAGAAAUAGGAGAAUGAACUUUUGAAAACUGCACACAUUUUUUUUUUUUACGACCGGAGCUAUGCCCAAACGUGAGUCUGGAACGGGAGAGCCGUAAGGCAUUGAAAUGAAACAAUUUAUCGGUAAGUUAGCCCAGUUUGUAAUGAUGUUGUAACUAUUGCAGCCUGCGGCAUUCAAUCGACGUGACAUUCUCUUUAACGAAUGCCGUAUUAAUUCGUUUGAACACGGACUAAAUCAUUCGCUUGAUAAGAGUUUGGAAACUAUCAGCGAUUUAUUUGGCGGUAUGAAAAUCGUAUCAUGUGAUACACGUGACCUUUUAAACCCAUAAAUAAUUACGUGUGUGGCAGCUGCAUUACCUUAUGAAAGGCUGGAUUUCUGAAGCUUUCGGGUUCCUUCUUCUUGUUGUUUUGAUUACCAAGAAGAGGAUAUGAUGAUAAACUGAAUGCGCACGUGCU